rnacentral:rRNA from 1 species
GGAGGGUGCAAGCGUUAUCCGGAUUCACUGGGUUUAAAGGGAGCGUAGGUGGCUUUGUAAGUCAGUGGUGAAAUAUUGCGGCUCAACCGCAAAACUGCCAUUGAUACUGCUUAGCUUGAAUCACGUCGAGGUGGAUGGAAUAAUACAUGUAGCGGUGAAAUGCUUAGAUAUGUAUUAGAACACCGAUUGCGAAGGCAGUUCACUAGGCGUGUAUUGACACUGAGGCUCGAAAGCGUGGGGAUCAAACAGGAUUAGAUACCCUGGUAGUCCACGCCCUAAACGAUGUAAACUCGACAUUAGCGAUAUACUGUUAGUGUCCAAGCGAAAGCGUUAAGUUUACCACCUGGGAAGUACGACCGCAAGGUUG